rnacentral:rRNA from 1 species
UACGGGGGGGGCAAGCGUUGUUCGGAAUUACUGGGCGUAAAGAGCUCGUAGGCGGUGUGUCGCGUCGGCCGUGAAAACCUGCAGCUUAACUGUGGGCUUGCGGUCGAUACGGGCAUCACUGGAGUUCGGCAGGGGAGACUGGAAUUCCUGGUGUAGCGGUGAAAUGCGCAGAUAUCAGGAGGAACACCGGUGGCGAAGGCGGGUCUCUGGGCCGAUACUGACGCUGAGGAGCGAAAGCGUGGGGAGCGAACAGG